GUUCAGGCAUCAGCUGAGGAAGGGAGGGAUCACUGCUCCACCAAAUGUAAAGAUGAGCGCCCAAAGAGGGUUUACCAGGCUGGCUCAGCAAGUUCUGCUCCAGACCAAAAGGUUUCUCAGUUGAGAAGUGCUGCUAUCAAGGUACAGCAAAGCUCUGUCAAAUCACUGCUAAUCUUGCAGUGAUUAGCCUUCAGCCUGAAGGAGCUGGUGCACUGAUUUUUCUUCUUGCACAAGAAGCUGCAGUGAGGGAUCGGGACACUAGAUGGUGGUGUCACUCCAGAAACAUUCCAGCGAUGUGUGACAAUGCCGGGACACCAAAUCACGGCUCUUUCAGCGCGGUUUGCUCCCUGCAACACGAAAUUUGAGGCGAAUAAGAUGUGAUGUGGUAACGUUAUUCAGACCCAGACUUUUUGAGUUAGAUUUGAAAGCUGUAAACAAUUUCUAACUGUUUUCCAGAAAAGGAGACCUUGAGUCUGAUUAUUUUGCAGUUAAUCAUUAUUGAUCUACUUGAAAACCAGUGAAAUCUUUAUUUCUGGUGAUAUGAGCACAAAUUCUGAUGGAAAAAAGAAACCCAGACCCUCGAUAUCUCAACCACUGACAUCAGUGAUGUUAAGGAAGAUUCACAGCCAUGUUCCUGCUUGCUUUCUUCAGUUAUGUCUUAGUGUGAGGUUAAUAAAAAGUGCACGUGAGAUGUGGAAAUCACCAUUUUUAAUUAUUAGAUAUUGUAGAUUGACUGCAAAACAAAUCCAGUUCUGAUUGGGAAUAGAAUGCAAAAAUAAAUCAGGUACAUGUUACUCCUACUGUGACCAUUUCAGUUUCAACAAAUUGCAAACUGGAAUUGAUUUCUAUACAUAAACUAUGAACAAAAAAGAAUUACAAAACUUCUCAGCAGCCUGAAAAGUCAAUA